UCUUAAGGUCGUUCUAUCGCCGGAUACAUUAUCAGGAGGAAAGUCCGGGCAACACAGAGCAUCCUGCUUCCUAACGGGAAGGGCAUAGUAAUAUGAACGGAAAGUGCCACAGAAAAUAAACUACCAAAGGUGUUAUGCAUCGUUGGAAAAGGUGAAAACGCGAGGUAAGAGCUCACGGCCUUGUUUGGUAACAAGCAUUGCGGUAAACCCCAGGAGUUGAAAGACCAAAUAUGCUGAUGUUUAAGGGCUGCUCGUCCUUUAUUUGCUUCUUGCGAAUACAUCAGUGGGUAGGUCGUUUGAACUUGUCAGCGAUGGCAAGGCUAGAUAAAUGAUAGAAGCCUCAUUUACUUGAGGAACAGAACCCGGCUUACAGACCUUAAAUUUUA
rnacentral:RNase_P_RNA from 2 species